GUUUUGUUCCAAGGAAACCUCAGAGUGUUUUGCUUCUCUUCCUUUUUCUGUCUGUUCUCCCUCUUUUAUAAUCUGAUUUUCAUGGCUUUGUGGGCUCAAAUGAGAGAGGUCCAAGUCUGAGAUUUUUUUCUUUUAUUUUUUAAUUUUUUUUAUUUAUUUAAUUAAUUAAUUAAUUUUUUUUUUAAAUAAAGUUUAGGAUCUGAUUCUGAUUGACAUGAUGAAAUGCAAUGUAUCUAAUGUUAAAUGACCUAAAAAUGAAUGCGUG
rnacentral:lncRNA from 1 species